GCGAUGGCGAGAAGGUCACACCUGUUCCCAUGCCGAACACAGAAGUUAAGCUUCUCAGCGCCGAUGGUAGUUGGGGCUUUGCCCCUGCGAGAGUAGGACGCCGCCAGGC
rnacentral:rRNA from 1 species